rnacentral:misc_RNA from 1 species
UUGCCAUCACAUUGUUGAUGGGACUAAUCGCCGUGUCUAUCUCACAACUGUUCGUCAGGACUGAGUAGGCUUGGUUAGAAUUUUUGUAACUAGUGUGGUACUUGUCAACCUCUUCUAGCGAUGGAUUUAAAUCUUACUUAAGUGUAUGUCGUCUUAUCCAGGGGUUCUCGUACCGCUAAGCACUGGUGAUUUGAUUUUUCCAAAAAAGAAAAAUUAAUGAUUCAAACUUG